rnacentral:tRNA from 1 species
GCCCAGAUGGCGGAAUAGGUAGACGCGCUGGUCUCAAACACCAGUAGGGCAACCUGUGCCGGUUCGAUUCCGGCUCUGGGUACCA